CUCACUAGUUUCACACGCACCUUGGUCCUCUCCCUGUCCAGGUUUGCUUUACUCCAGAUGAAGUUGUGCAAAUAUGGAGACAAGCACUGAAACUCUUGGUGGGCAUAGUGUGGAUGGAAGUGGUGGAAGCGGAAGAUCUUGGUGGUCUUUUCCAACCUUUAUGAUUCUCUGUGACUCCAGAGAAGACAAAACACCAUUCCUGUUCACAACGAAGGAGCCACAGCCCAUGACCUCCAGUGUCAAGACUUCGCCACCACUUUGCCACCACCACGGGGCGCAGAGUGCAGUGAGCGGUGCUGAGCUGAGCAAUGAAGAGGAGAUGGCUGCACACGUAGAGUGAAAGCUUUGACUUUAUGGUGUCUCCAAGUCAAAAAAGCCUGCUUGUGGACCCAAAGCCCAGAGGAGAUCCUUGCUACAACUGCCUAUAGAAGGAGAACGUGUUGCAACAGUCAGAAAAAUCAGCAUGAUGGAAUGGCAAUACAGGAGAUGUAACAACAAGGGAACUAGCUCUACAGAAAGGAGUAAUGCUGUUGAACAGUGCUCAUGAGGAACUUGCAUCUGCGCUAGCUGAGCUCUGUUUAAGAACUGAAGAGAGGAAAGCAUCUAAUUAACAACUGAUGAAACACUGAAGCAAUGAGGAAAGCUAUUUUCCCAAUGGAGGUUGUUCUCUGUCCUGCAGAGCUGAUGUUUCCCCAUAGAGAUGUCCUCAGCUGCUGUAUUGAAUUCAAAGACAAAAUAAGAUUUUACAAAACCUAAACUCCAUCUUGACGUGAUUCCCACAUGUGAGUGAGUGAGUGAAAAUUCAAGCCAAAGGAGAAUCCACUGCUACAGGAUGCAGAAACUGCUAUAAAGUAGAAGUAAAAAAACCUUCAUUUUUUUUAUCAGGCCAUUACUGACUUUGUUCUUCUGGUCAAGGAACAGAAAUUGCCAGAACUCAGUUUCUCACAUUUUUACAAAGAAUCACAGAAGUGCUCAGUUUUCAGCAGGUGCAAGGAGGAGGGUGGGUUAAAGGUAUUACAAGUAUCAUCUGAAAUACAGCACAAGUUCAUCUAACAUGAAGCGGCAGCUUUUAUUAGGUUUUGCAGUGAAGACGCUUCAUAGGAGACAGGAAAAAUAAGUGGGAAAACUAUGAAGUUUGACAGUGAUUAAAAGCAUUAUCUAACCCCUUCCUUUGGUUCUUAAGAGCCAUUAAUCACAUCGUGUAUUUACAUAGUGCUUGGAUGUGACCAUGAAAGAAAUAAUGCUCUCUUGAAAAGAAC